rnacentral:rRNA from 1 species
CUACGGGGUGCUCCAGUGGGGAAUAUUGGACAAUGGGGGAAACCCUGAUCCAGCAACGCCGCGUGGAGGAUGACGCAUUUCGGUGUGUAAACUCCUUUUAUAUGUCAAGAAAAUGACGGUAGCAUAUGAAUAAGCACCGGCUAACUCCGUGCCAGCAGCCGCGGUAAUACGGAGGGUGCAAGCGUUACUCGGAAUCACUGGGCGUAAAGGACGCGUAGGCGGGUUGGAAAGUCAGGUGUGAAAUCCUACAGCUUAACUGUAGAACUGCACUUGAAACUUCUAAUCUAGAGUAUGGGAGGGGGAGAUGGAAUUAGUGGUGUAGGGGUAAAAUCCGUAGAUAUCACUAGGAAUACCUAAAGCGAAGGCGAUCUCCUGGAACAUUACUGACGCUAAGGCGUGAAAGCGUGGGGAGCAAACAGGAUUAGAUACCCUUGUAGUC